UCAUUAUAUAAGUUAUCGUUUAUUUGAUAGCACCUUACUACUUGGAUAACCGUGGUAAUUCUAGAGCUAAUACAUGCUGAAAACCCCGACUUCGGAAGGGGUGUAUUUAUUAGAUACAAAACCAAUGCCCUUCGGGGCUCAAUGGUGAUUCAUGAUAACUUCGCGAAUCGCACAGCCUUGCGCUGGCGAUGGUUCAUUCAAAUUUCUUCCCUAUCAACUUUCGAUGUUUGGGUAUUGGCCAAACAUGGUUGCAACGGGUAACGGAGGGUUAGGGCUCGACCCCGGAGAAGGAGCCUGAGAAACGGCUACUACAUCCAAGGAAGGCAGCAGGCGCGCAAAUUACCCAAUCCCGACACGGGGAGGUAGUGACAAUAAAUACUGAUACAGGGCUCUAUUGGGUCUUGUAAUUGGAAUGAGUACAAUCUAAAUCUCUUAACGAGGAACAAUUGGAGGGCAAGUCUGGUGCCAGCAGCCGCGGUAAUUCCAGCUCCAAUAGCGUAUAUUAAAGUUGUUGUGGUUAAAAAGCUCGUAGUUGAACCUUGGGCCUGGCUGGCCGGUCUGCCUCACCGCACGCACUGGACCGGCCGGGCCUUUCCCUCUGUGGAACUCCAUGCCCUUCACUGGGUGUGGCAGGGAAACAGGACUUUUACUUUGAAAAAAUUAGAGUGCUCCAGGCAGGCAUAUGCUCGAAUACAUUAGCAUGGAAUAAUAAAAUAGGACGCGUGGUUCUAUUUUGUUGGUUUCUAGGACCGCCGUAAUGAUUAAUAGGGACAGUCGGGGGCAUCAGUAUUCAAUUGUCAGAGGUGAAAUUCUUAGAUUUAUUGAAGACUAACUACUGCGAAAGCAUUUGCCAAGGAUGUUUUCAUUAAUCAGGAACGAAAGUUAGGGGAUCGAAGACGAUCAGAUACCGUCGUAGUCUUAACCAUAAACUAUGCCGACUAGGGAUCGGACGAUGUUUUUCAUUGACUCGUUCGGC
rnacentral:rRNA from 1 species